rnacentral:rRNA from 1 species
UUACCCAAUCACGACACGUGGAGGUAGUGACAAGAAAUAACAAAGCAAGCCAGUAUUCUGGUUUUGCUAUUGGAAUGAGUAGAAUUUAAAUCUCUUUACGACUAUCAAUUGGAGGGCAAGUCUGGUGCCAGCAGCCGCGGUAAUUCCAGCUCCAAUAGCGUAUAUUAAAGUUGUUGCGGUUAAAAAGCUCGUAGUUGGAUUUCUGUUGAGGACGGCCGGUCCGCACUAUGUGCGUGUAUCUGGUUCGGCCUCGGCAUCCUCUUGAGGAACGUUUCUGCGCUUGAUUGCGUGGAGCGGUAUUCAAGACUUUUACUUUGAGGAAAUUAGAGUGUUCACGGCAGGCAAGCGCCUUGAAUAUGUUAGCAUGGAAUAAUAAUAUAGGAUCUUGGUUCUAUUUGUUGGUUUCUAGGGCUAAGGUAAUGAUUAAUAGGGAUAAUUGGGGGCAUUUGUAUUAACGCGUCAGAGGUGGAAUUCUUGGAUUGCGUUACGACAAACUACUGCGAAAGCAUUUGCCAAGGAUGUUUUCAUUGAUCAAGAACGAAAGUAUGGGGAUCGAAGAUGAUUAGAUACCGUCGUAGUCUAUACCAUAAACUAUGCCGACUAGGGAUUGGAGGUCGUUCUUUUUAUGACUCCUUCAGCACCUUAUGAGAAAUCAAAGUCUUUGGGUUCCGGGGGGAGUAUAGUCGCAAGGCUGAAACUUAAAGGAAUUGACGGAAGGGCACCACCAGGAGUGGAGCCUGCGGCUUAAUUUGACUCAACACGGGGAAACUCA